rnacentral:misc_RNA from 1 species
UCCGGCUUGUCACCGGCAGUUUCUUCAGAGUGCCCAGCUCUACCUGGUGGCAACUGAAGAUGAGGGUUGCGCUCGUCGCGGGACUUAACCCAACAUCUCACGACACGAGCUGACGACAGCCAUGCAGCACCUCGAAUAGACCCCCUUGCGGGGUAAAGGCGUUUCCACCCUCGUUGACUACCCGUUCGAGCCCAGGUAAGGUUCUUCGCGUUGCGUCGAAUUGAACCACAUGCUCCACCGCUUGUGCGGGCCCCCGUCAAUUCCUUUGAGUUUCAGCCUUGCGACUGUACUCCCCAGGCGGCAUAUUUAACGCGUUAGCUCCGGCACGGACAGAAUGAACUGCCCACACCAAAUAUGCAUCGUUUAGGGCGUGGACUAC